CAGGGCCCUGAUAGGAAGGCCAGUGUAAAGGUUUAGCUGAAGAGCGUUUAACGAAGAGGUGACUUGCAGAGUUAAGAAGCAUGGAGUUUGAAGACCUCCGAUUUUAGAGUUUUAUCAACUCUGCCUCGUUGGAAGUUUUAGAAGCUUUGUCUCUGAGACCCCGGCUCUCUCUUUCUCCUGUCUCCUCCCUAAUCGGCUGGGAUCCUGUGCUACAGCAAGCUUAAGAAGUGCUACAUAUGAGGUCAGCCUGGGCUAUGAAGGGCGCAUUAAACAAAUCUCAUUUGGACUAGAGCUCCUUGGGUCCUCAGAACCAUCAGAGGCCCUGGCAGGCCCCCAUGCCAGCAAGGACUUCCCUCCCAUUCCUUCUGGAUGAGGACUAUCCGCAGGAGGGAGCACACCUGACCAGCGGAGUUCUGUCUGCUGUAAGAUCCCUCGGCCUCUUCCUCCUUUCAUCCUUCCCCUGGUGAGCCAAGGGGAGUCUCCUGGGAGCUUGUGAAACAGAUCCCGGCCCCUCCCUGGAGGCGCUGACUCCGGAGUGCACCAGGUGAUUCUUAACAACCAGGCAGGCUGGAGAGACCCAUGGAGACAGCUGCUCUGCUGGGAGCUGUGGCUGCCACCCUGAGAGGGAGAAGGUGUUCACAGCAUGGCAGAUGCUGAGCCUCUGUCAGGGACAGGGAUGAUGUUUUCACUAGGCCACGCGUCCCAAGACAGGACAGGCGGGCCCAUAGAGGCUUCUGCAGGCCAAGAGGAAUGAACGCAAAAGCCACCCAAGCAGCCUCCUGUGGCCCAAGUUCCCCAAGAGGACGGGAAGCCGGCAGCUCAGCCACCAGAACUAUAGGGGACACCCGAAAACCAAGAUCCCAACAGCCAAGAGGGGAAAAGCCCGAAUAUGCGGACCUGGCUGUUUUUUAAGACGAUUCAGUUCUGGGGCCUGGGAGAAUGCAAAGGAAAAUGCCUGGUUGUCCCUAAGUAACCUGUGA